GACGGAGGGGGCUAGCGUUGUUCGGAAUGACUGGGCGUAAAGGGCGUGUAGGCUGUUGAUCAAGUCAAGCGUGAAAGCCUCGGGCUUAACCCGAGAACUGCGUUUGAUACUGGUUGACUUGAGGACGAGAGAGGAAAGUGGAAUUCCGAGUGUAGAGGUGAAAUUCGUAGAUAUUCGGAGGAACAUCAGAGGCGAAGGCGGCUUUCUGGCUCGUAUCUGACGCUGAGGCGCGAAAGCGUGGGGAGCAAAC
rnacentral:rRNA from 1 species